AGUGUGCUGAGGGGAUAGUGGAGGCUGAAUUUCAGACGGAUGAGGUAAUGCCUCGACCUGAGGUAGUAUCUCGGCUUGCUGGGUUUGCACUUUAGCUGGCCGAGAAGCCAUCCUGUUAGAGUGACAUGAGGUAUUCGAUCUCCCUCUUCGAGCCCAAGCCCUCCAUCUAGCAUCAAUCAAUUUCUGCUGAUAAUCAAUAUAGCAUUGGAGUAAGUGGAUCUGAAGUUGCUGGAAUCUGCUACUACACCAGAUGGAAGUGAACAUGCAAAGCCCUCUAUCUAGCGCCAAUCUAUUGCUGCUG
rnacentral:lncRNA from 1 species